AAGUCGUAACAAGGUCUCCGUUGGUGAACCAGCGGAGGGAUCAUUACCGAGUUUACAACUCCCAAACCCCUGUGAACAUACCUACAACGUUGCCUCGGCGGCUCCCCGCUUCCCCGUAAAACGGGACGGCCCGCCAGAGGACCCAACAAACCCUGUUAUCUUCAGUAUCUUCUGAGUAAAAACACAAUCAAUUAAAACUUUCAACAACGGAUCUCUUGGUUCUGGCAUCGAUGAAGAACGCAGCGAAAUGCGAUAAGUAAUGUGAAUUGCAGAAUUCAGUGAAUCAUCGAAUCUUUGAACGCACAUUGCGCCCGCCAGUACUCUGGCGGGCAUGCCUGUUCGAGCGUCAUUACAUCCCUCAAGCCCCUGCGGCUUGGUGUUGGGCCUCGGCCGUCCCUCAGCGGCGGCCGUGCCCCAAAUACAGUGGCGGUCUCGCCCCCGGCUCCUCUGCGUAGUAGUAACAUCUCGCACUGGGACGGAGCGUAGGCCACGCCGUAAAACAACCCAACUUUCUGAAUGUUGACCUCGGAUCAGGUAGGAAUACCCGCUGAACUUAAGCAUAUCAAUAAGCGGAGGAAAAGAAACCAACAGGGAUUGCCCUAGUAACGGCGAGUGAAGCGGCAACAGCUCAAAUUUGAAAUCUGGCUCUCGGGCCCGAGUUGUAAUUUGUAGAGGAUGCUUUUGGCAAGGUGCCUUCCGAGUUCCCUGGAACGGGACGCCAUAGAGGGUGAGAGCCCCGUCUGGUUGGACACCGAGCCUCUGUAAAGCUCCUUCGACGAGUCGAGUAGUUUGGGAAUGCUGCUCUAAAUGGGAGGUAUAUGUCUUCUAAAGCUAAAUACUGGCCAGAGACCGAUAGCGCACAAGUAGAGUGAUCGGAAGAUGAAAAGCACUUUGAAAAGAGAGUUAAAAAGCACGUGAAAUUGUUGAAAGGGAAGCGCUCAUGACCAGACUUGGGCUUGGUUGAUCAUCCGGCGUUCUCGCCGGUGCACUCUUCCAGUUCAGGCCAGCAUCAGUUUGCCUCGGGGGAUAAAAGCAGCGGGAAUGUGGCUCCUCCGGGAGUGUUAUAGCCCGCUGCAUAAUACCCUGUGGCAGACUGAGGACCGCGCUUCGUGCAAGGAUGCUGGCGUAAUGGUCAUCAGCGACC
rnacentral:rRNA from 1 species